rnacentral:rRNA from 1 species
AGGGGGCAAGCGUUGUCCGGAAUUAUUGGGCGUAAAGGGCACGCAGGCGGUCUCUUAAGUCUGAUGUGAAAUCUCGUGGCUUAACCACGAGCGGUCAUUGGAAACUGAGAGACUUGAGUACAGAAGAGGAGAGUGGAAUUCCACGUGUAGCGGUGAAAUGCGUAGAGAUGUGGAGGAACACCAGUGGCGAAGGCGGCUCUCUGGUCUGUAACUGACGCUGAGGUGCGAAAGCGUGGGGAGCGA